rnacentral:rRNA from 1 species
CUACGGGGGGCUCCAGUGAGGAAUAUUGCACAAUGGGGGGAACCCUGAUGCAGCAACGCCGCGUGGAGGAUGACGCAUUUCGGUGUGUAAACUCCUUUUAUAUGUCAAGAAAAUGACGGUAGCAUAUGAAUAAGCACCGGCUAGACUCCGUGCCCGCAGCCGCGGUAAUACGGAGGGUGCAAGCGUUACUCGGAAUCACUGGGCGUAAAGGACGCGUAGGCGGGUUGGAAAGUCAGGUGUGAAAUCCUACAGCUUAACUGUAGAACUGCACUUGAAACUUCUAAUCUAGAGUAUGGGAGGGGGAGAUGGAAUUAGUGGUGUAGGGGUAAAAUCCGUAGAUAUCACUAGGAAUACCUAAAGCGAAGGCGAUCUCCUGGAACAUUACUGACGCUAAGGCGUGAAAGCGUGGGGAGCAAACAGGAUUAGAUACCCGGGUAGUC